CUUUGUUCAAAGAACUCUUUGAACGCGGACACUCUUUCAUGACCGGCAAAUUAUCUCUUUUUGAAAACAGCCAUAAGCACACAAAUUGAUUAUGCUGCCAACACAAGUUGCAUCACCCCUCCCCUGAAGAAGAGGCCAU